CGGCAGGCGGGAGGCUUUGACGUGCGGUCCGCGCUCCGGCCGCCGGGACCGCGCCGAGCCACUGGCGAGACCGACCCGCUCGCGC
rnacentral:ncRNA from 1 species